GGGCCCGCACAAGCGGCGGAGCAUGCGGAUUAAUUCGAUGCAACGCGAAGAACCUUACCUGGGUUUGACAUGGCCGCAAAACCUGCAGAGAUGUGGGGUCCUUCGGGGGCGGUCACAGGUGGUGCAUGGCUGUCGUCAGCUCGUGUCGUGAGAUGUUGGGUUAAGUCCCGCAACGAGCGCAACCCUUGUUCGAUGUUGCCAGCGGUUCGGCCGGGGACUCAUCGAAGACUGCCGGGGUCAACUCGGAGGAAGGUGGGGAUGAGGUCAAGUCAUCAUGCCCCUUAUGUCCAGGGCUUCACGCAUGCUACAAUGGCCGGUACAAAGGGCUGCGAUACCGUGAGGUGGAGCGAAUCCCAAAAAGCCGGUCUCAGUUCGGAUCGGGGUCUGCAACUCGACCCCGUGAAGUCGGAGUCGCUAGUAAUCGCAGAUCAGCAACGCUGCGGUGAAUACGUUCCCGGGCCUU
rnacentral:rRNA from 1 species